UACGUAGGGGGCAAGCGUUAUCCGGAUUUACUGGGUGUAAAGGGGGCGCAGACGGCGAUGCAAGCCAGGAGUGAAAGCCCGGGGCCCAACCCCGGGACUGCUCUUGGAACUGCGUGGCUGGAGUGCAGGAGGGGCAGGCGGAAUUCCUGGUGUAGCGGUGAAAUGCGUAGAUAUCAGGAGGAACACCGGUGGCGAAGGCGGCCUGCUGGACAGCAACUGACGUUGAGGCCCGAAAGCGUGGGGAGCAAACGGG
rnacentral:rRNA from 1 species